UGGGUAAUCUUUUGAAACUUUAUCGUGCUGGGGAUAGAGCAUUGCAAUUAUCGCUCUUCAACGAGGAAUCCCUAGUGAGCGUAAGUCAUCAGCUUGCGUUGAUUACGUCCCUGCCCUUUGUACACACCGCCCGUCGCUACUACCGAUUGAAUGGCUUAGUGAGGUCUUCGGAUCGGCGAUCGGUGAGUAGCAAUAUCCGCUGGUUGCUGAGAAGUUGAUCAAACUUGGUCAUUUAGAGGAAGUAAAAGUCGUAACAAGGUUUCCGUAGGUGAACCUGCGGAAGGAUCAUUAUAAAAUUUUCAUAUUAAUUUAUUUAAUAUAUAAAAUUAUACAAAAAUGUAUUCAAAACCCACACUCUUUAUAACCAUAAAAAAACAUUAUAUCUUUGUAUAUAAUAUAAAAAAACAACUUUCAACAACGGAUCUCUUGGCUCUCGCAUCGAUGAAGAACGCAGCGAAUUGCGAUAAGUAAUGUGAAUUGCAGAAUUACGUGAAUCAUCGAAUCUUUGAACGCAUAUUGCACUCUCUGGUAAUCCGGGGAGUAUGCCUGUUUGAGGGUCAGUAAAUAAUAAUUAUCAUAAUCUUGAUUAUGGAAUUGGGCUUCUAUUUCAUUUUAAUGAUUUAUGGCCUUAAAUUUAUGUUAUGCUUGUUUAAAUGAAAUUCGACCGAAUGGAGCAAUUAAACAUUCUCUCGUUAGGCGGAUUCAUCAAGCAAUUACGAUUUUUUGGCCGUCGAGGCACUUUUUUUUUAGAAGUGCUUGGUCGAGAUUGUAAAAGAUACAUUUAACAAUGACCUCAAAUCAGGCAAGAAUACCCGCUGAACUUAAGCAUAUCAAUAAGCGGAGGAAAAGAAACUAACAAGGAUUCCCCUAGUAACGGCGAGUGAAGAGGGAAGAGCUCAAAUUUUAAAUCUGCCUUGUUUCAAGGUCGAGUUGUAAUUUGAAGAAGCGUUUUCUUGGGCUCGCGGCCGGUAGAAGUUCUUUGGAACAGGACAUCAUAGAGGGUGACAAUCCCGUCUGCGACCGGUCGUGAGUUCAUCUACGAUAUGCUUUCAAAGAGUCGAGUUGUUUGGGAUCGCAGCUCCAAAUGGGUGGUAAACAUCACCUAAGGCUAAAUAUUGGCGAGAGACCGAUAGCGAACAAGUACCGUGAGGGAAAGAUGAAAAGAACUUUGAAAAGAGAGUUAAACAGUACGUGAAAUUGUUGAAAGGGAAACGAUUGAAGUCAGUCGUGCUGGCGCGAAAUCAACCCUCUCGUCGAGAGGUCACAUGGCGUGGCGAGCCUCAAAACCGUCACGAAGCGUGAACUCUUGGCGAAAAGGAGCACUUUCGUGUCCGCUGGUUAACAUCAAUUUCGAACGUCAUAAAAAGGCUGGAGGGAUGUGGCUCCUUCGGGAGUGUUAUAACCUUUAGCGGAAUGUGGUGGUCGGGAUUGAGGAUUGCAACGAAUACCUUUAGGGCUGUUCCACCUGGCUUCUCUUUGGUAUCCUGGUGAAGACAGCUUGCUGACUUUGUUAGGAUUCGCCUUUGAACAGGCUAGAGUGUGAGCAAAUUCGUAAGGAUG
rnacentral:rRNA from 1 species